UACAGGGGGUGCAAACGUUGCUCGGAAUCAUUGGGCGUAAAGCGCACGUAGGCGGUUCGUUAUGUCGGAUGUGAAAGCCCUUGGCUUAACCGAGGAAGUGCAUCCGAAACUGGCGAGCUAGAGUACGAAAGAGGAUCGCGGAAUUCCCGGUGUAGAGGUGAAAUUCGUAGAUAUCGGGAGGAACACCGGUGGCGAAGGCGGCCACCUGGCUGGUAACUGACGCUGAGACGCGAAAGCGUGGGUAGCAAACAGG
rnacentral:rRNA from 1 species